UGGGGAAUAUUGCGCAAUGGGCGAAAGCCUGACGCAGCAACGCCGCGUGAGUGAGGAAGGCCUUCGGGUUGUAAAGCUCUGUCAAUGUAGAAAAACAGCUUAUCAUCUAAUAGGUGUUAAGUUUGAUGGUAUACAUAAAGGAAGCACCGGCUAACUUCGUGCCAGCAGCCGCGGUAAUACGAAGGGUGCAAGCGUUGUUCGGAUUUAUUGGGCGUAAAGCGGGUGCAGGCUGAUAAGUAAGUCAGAUGUGAAAUCUCGGGGCUUAACCCCGAAACUGCGUCUGAAACUACUUGUCUAGAAUCUCAAAGAGGGAAGCGGAAUUUCACAUGUAGGAGUAAAAUCCGUAGAGAUGUGAAGGAACACCAGAGGCGAAGGCGGCUUCCUGGUUGAGAAUUGACGCUGUAGCCGAAAGCGUGGGGAGCAAACAGG
rnacentral:rRNA from 1 species